CUACGGGUUGCUGCAGUGGGGAAUUUUGCGCAAUGGGGGCAACCCUGACGCAGCAAUACCGCGUGAGUGAAGAAGGCCUUUGGGUCGUAAAGCUCUUUUCUAAGGGAAGAUAGUGACGGUACCUUAGGAAUAAGCACCGGCUAACUCCGUGCCAGCAGCCGCGGUAAUACGGAGGGUGCGAGCGUUGUUCGGAUUUACUGGGCGUAAAGGGCACGUAGGCGGCCUAGCAAGUUAAGGGUGAAAUCCCGGGGCUCAACUCCGGAACUGCUCUUAAAACUGCUAAGCUAGAGAUAGUCAGAGGCGGGUGGAAUUCCAGGUGUAGAGGUGAAAUUCGUAGAUAUCUGGAGGAACACCGGUGGCGAAGGCGGCCCGCUGGGGCUAUUCUGACGCUGAGGUGCGAAAGCGUGGGGAGCGAACGGGAUUAGAUACCCGGGUAGUC
rnacentral:rRNA from 1 species